UUUUCAAGCGCCUUAUAGACAUCGUCGAUGCAUUGUAUAAAAUAGGCCUAAAACCAAACCUUGUCUGGAAUAUUAUAGAAUAAGGGAUAAUUUUUAUCUAUAGGGUACUCGAAGACUUAGUACAACGAAUGACGGAAUAGUACAAUGAAUAGCUGAAGACUUGGUAUUGCACAACUUGACAAUGUACAACGAUUGACAUGGAAACACACGAGGAACUACCGUACAGUCUGGUGAUUGGUUCACUACUGAUGGUCCUGAUGAUGUCUUUUGUUGUUACGCGAGUAUUAACAGGAACAUGUAAGAAUGCUGCCGAUUUGCGACCUGUACCAAAACAAAAGUCUAACUGAGUCAUCCCAGCUACACCAAUCUAGCAAUACGAAUCAUCGAUUUAUUUAUGUAAUAAAAUGUUAUCAAUACAAUAAAUAUAUAAAAUUGUUAA